rnacentral:pre_miRNA from 1 species
UUUAAAUAUAUUUAUGAGUUUUCAUGUCUAACUUUAAUCGUCCGUCAUUUUUUUAUGAUUAGUAUAAUUCUGUUUUUAUUAGAUGACAAAACUUUAUGAGUGAUUUAUGUUUUUAUUUUUUUUAAAAUAAGACGAAUGAUUAAGGUCGGAUACGGAAACUCAUGACUAUACUUAAA